CUCUGUGAAAAUUAAACGGAUUACGUCGCGCGUGCCAGGAACGCUCAAAGAAGACGAAGAAGAAGAAGCCGCCAUGAGAGCUCCUCAAGCUCUGAUGCUGCGAUCCUCCUCUCCGAUCGCCGCUUUCUUUCGGCGCCCUUCUACUUCUUUUCUCCCCGUCGUCUCCUCUCGUUUCGCCAACUCAAUUUCAUCGUCUUCAUUCCAGGGUUUCUUGAACCCCAUUCGUUUUUCACCUGCUACGAAGCUCGAUCUCAAAUCCGUUUCUUUAUCUGAACCUGGACAUGGAUUCGGAGUGUCUCCGGCACGGAGGUUGUGUAGCGUGCGGGCAUCGCCGGUGUCCGAUUCGGGGUCCAUCGACAUGCCCUUGAUGCAGUCCAUGGAGAAGAAGAUUAAAGAGCAUCUGAAUGCGGAUUCGGUCACUGUCAAAGAUGCAUAUGGAGAUGGUCGGCAUGUGAGCAUUGAUGUCAUUUCAACAGCCUUCGAGGGACAAUCGUCCGUAAAUAGGCAGAGAAUGGUGUACAAAGCAAUCUGGGAGGAGCUUCAGAGCACGGUCCAUGCCGUUGACCAAAUGACCACCAGAACCCCCGCAGAAGCUGCAGAAAACCAGUAAUAAAUUUUUGGCUGAGGUACCAUGAAAUCUGAGUGUAACUUCCUCUGCACCAUGCACUUCACAUUUUACUAUAUUUUUUUUUUUAUGCGAGAAUUCCACCGAACAGACUUUUGAUGCCACAGGCACAGAUCAGUGGGCUUUCUUAUGUGCUCUUAAUCAUUUUCUCAACUUUUUAUCAAACUUUAUCCUAGUCCUCUCUCAGCGAGUUCAACAUCAAUGCUUUCUAAUAUCCAGACUUAGCUUUCUUUCCAAAAGACUAUGACAGGCAGAACUUCUCAUCAGUUGAGCAUUAAUCCAAGCUACAGGUAUACCACCUAAAAAUCUUACUGACAUGUUGGCAUUUAGUUUGGGUCAUUAGAUCACCGAACUUUUUAGUCUCUUGUUCACCAAAUUGUUGAGAAAGAAGUGGUAAAUGAUAACAAGCAAAUGAUCUCUGCUUUCA